rnacentral:rRNA from 1 species
CAACUUAAGAGUUUGAUCCUGGCUCAGAAUGAACGCUGGCGGCAGGCCUAAAACAUGCAAGUCGAACGCUCUAGCAAUAGGGAGUGGCGCACGGGUGAGUAACAUGUGGGAAUAUGCCUUUUGGUACGGAACAACUUUUGGAAACGAAAGCUAAUACCGUAUGGUCCCUUCGGGGUAAAGAUUUAUCGCCAAAAGAUUAGCCCGCACUAGAUUAGCUAGUUGGUAAGGUAAUGGCUUACCAAGGCGA